CUGCUCUGCAGUUCUCAAUGCACGACUGGAGCCUAAGUGAGAACGGAUUUGAGACUGUACAGAGAAGUGGCCAUCAGGGCCCUGAGGAGCCACAGGGAAAUUUGGUCUCAUCUCAACAGAUCCCCAUGCACUGCAGCUGUGUUCACCCUCCCACCCCCCAAUUCUGAACUGGGGAGAAAGCCUGAGGCACAAAAUAAGCUGCUAUGAGCAGCAGAAACAUCUGCUGGUUACUUCACCACAGUUUUCACUGUGUUUACAGAGAGCAGCUGUUCCAGUUCUCAAACACCUUAACUUCACUUUGACUUCAACAGCAAGUACUUAACUUUUAGGGGCCAUGAUGCUCUGUGCUGCAUCAUGUAAAUCUCUUCAUGGAUCCCACCCUAAGUGGCUGGAGAUUU